UACGUAGGGUGCGAGCGUUGUUCGGAAUUAUUGGGCGUAAAGAGCUCGUAGGCGGUCUGUCGCGUCGGUCGUGAAAACUUGGGGCUUAACCCUGAGCUUGCGGUCGAUACGGGCAUGACUGGAGUUCGGUAGGGGAAGACUGGAAUUCCCAGUGUAGAGGUGAAAUUCGUAGAUAUUGGGAAGAACACCAGUGGCGAAGGCGGCUCACUGGCUCGUAACUGACGCUCAGGCGCGACAGCGUGGGGAUCGAAACAGG
rnacentral:rRNA from 1 species